AGUGAACGCUGGCGGCGUGCUUAACACAUGCAAGUCGAGCGGGGUGAGGUGCUUCGGUACUGAUCCUAGCGGCGGACGGGUGAGUAAUGCUUAGGAAUCUGCCAUUUAGUGGGGGACAACAUUCCGAAAGGAAUGCUAAUACCGCAUACGUCCUACGGGAGAAAGCAGGGGAUCUUCGGACCUUGCGCUAAACGAUGAGCCUAAGUCGGAUUAGCUAGUUGGUGGGGUAAAGGCCUACCAAGGCGACGAUCUGUAGCGGGUCUGAGAGGAUGAUCCGCCACACUGGGACUGAGACACGGCCCAGACUCCUACGGGAGGCAGCAGUGGGGAAUAUUGGACAAUGGGCGGAAGCCUGAUCCAGCCAUGCCGCGUGUGUGAAGAAGGCCUUUUGGUUGUAAAGCACUUUAAGCGAGGAGGAGGCUACCUGGAUUAAUACUCUGGGAUAGUGGACGUUACUCGCAGAAUAAGCACCGGCUAACUCUGUGCCAGCCGCCGCCGUAA
rnacentral:rRNA from 1 species